rnacentral:rRNA from 1 species
GACGGGGGCCCGCACAAGCGUGGAGCAUGUGGUUUAAUUCGAAGCAACGCGAAGAACCUUACCAGGUCUUGACAUCCCGAUGCUAUUUCUAGAGAUAGAAAGUUACUUCGGUACAUCGGUGACAGGUGGUGCAUGGUUGUCGUCAGCUCGUGUCGUGAGAUGUUGGGUUAAGUCCCGCAACGAGCGCAACCCCUAUUGUUAGUUGCCAUCAUUCAGUUGGGCACUCUAGCGAGACUGCCGGUAAUAAACCGGAGGAAGGUGGGGAUGACGUCAAAUCAUCAUGCCCCUUAUGACCUGGGCUACACACGUGCUACAAUGGUUGGUACAACGAGUUGCGAGUCGGUGACGGCGAGCUAAUCUCUUAAAGCCAAUCUCAGUUCGGAUUGUAGGCUGCAACUCGCCUACAUGAAGUCGGAAUCGCUAGUAAUCGCGGAUCAGCACGCCGCGGUGAAUACGUUCCCGGGCCUU